AAUAUUGGGCAAUGGGCAGAAGCGGGAUCCAGCCAUGGAGCGAAAAGGAAGUCAGCCCUAUGGGUUGUAAAUUGUUUUUAUACAGGAAGAAUAAGGAGUAUGUAUACUCCGAUGACGGUACUGUAAGAAUAAGGACCGGCUAACUCCGUGCCAGCAGCCGCGGUAAUACGGAGGGUCCGAGCGUUAUCCGGAAUUAUUGGGUUUAAAGGGUCCGCAGGCGGGCAAUUAAGUCAGGGGUGAAAUGGUGCGGCUCAACCGUAGCACUGCCUUUGAUACUGGUUGUCUUGAGUUAUGGUGGAGUGGCCGGAAUAUGUAGUGUAGCGGUGAAAUGCAUAGAUAUUACAUAGAACACCGAUCGCGAAGGCAGGUCACUAACCAUAUACUGACGCUGAUGGACGAGAGCGUGGGGAGCGAACAGGGUUAGAUACCCUGGUAGUCCACGCCGUA
rnacentral:rRNA from 1 species